rnacentral:rRNA from 1 species
GACGAACGCUGGCGGCGUGCCUAAUACAUGCAAGUCGAACGCAGUGGGGAUGGGUGAGUAACACGUGGGUAACCUCCCAUCAGAGGGGAUAACACUUGGAAACAGGUGCUAAACCGAUACUGAUGGAUGAACCCGCGGGGGAUUAGCUAGUGGGUGGGGUAACGGCUCACCAAGGCGACGAUCCGUAGCUGGUGUGAGAGGAUGAUCCGCCACACUGGGACUGAGACACGGCCCAGACUCCUACGGGAGGCAGCAGUGGGGAAUUUUGGACAAGGGGGGAAACCCUGAUCCAGCCAUCCCGCGUGUGCGAUGAAGGCCUUCGGGUUGUAAAGGACUUUUGGCAGGAAAGCGGUACCUGAAGAAUAAGCACCGGCUAACUACGUGCCAGCAGCCGCGGUAAUUC